CCUUCUCUCUUUUGGGGGGCGGUUGAUCCGGGCGGGCAACAAGUGCUUUUGAUCGAGGCGGAACUGCCAUUGCAGCACUUGGGGUCUUGGACUACUGCCUGCAGGCUUACACGUAAUUAGUUGUGCGCGUUCCUCAGUUCCAGAAAUUGUGUUGAAGUAUGUGGUGAUGAAAGUCAAAUCAAUGAAGAUGGUUCGAGGAGGCUUUGUGGCCUGCUGUUUGGCAGAGGGCGCCUAAAUUUUCCUAGUCUCUGCAAUUUGCUUGGAACCGUGAACCUCAUUGUGAUUUCUCCAAGUUUUCCAGGAUUUUUCCAUAAAUGUCCACAAAAUGGAAACAAAACGACUGACCCAUCACAUGAGCCUUGCCGGCCGAGAAACGGCCCGCGCGCUUGGCGCACAUUGUUGGUGGUGGGCCGUUCUGGGCCUCUUAUUUUUUCAAAGCCUGGGAGACGAAACAGAUGACAAGGUGGACUGUGGAUGUUGGACCGUAUGGAGUCAGGGUGGGCGUUCGGGUUAACCCGAGAUUUCGGGCCGGGUAAUUCGGGUAAUGAAAAAAUCGGGUUUCCAAAAUCAACACCCGAAUUUUCAGCAAACAUUAACUGAUCGGGUUCGGAUAUCGGGUAAACCGGAAUUCCCGAAAUAGCAGAAACUGAUUGAGAUUGAGUUCCAGGCGUUCUCAUUUCAGAUCAUACAGACUACAGACACUCACACUGACGACACACACAAACUUCAAGUAGCAGCUACGCACGAACAUGAAUCAAAGUACUGAGAGUAGUAGCAACAGCAGCACGGCAAAACUUCAACUCAGCCUGAAGCCUUGAACUUGCGCUGCCCCUGAACUGAACCAGAGCAUAUAGUAUGACAGCAAAACAGCCGACACUCACCAAGAAGAUGUUUCAGCUUCGGAGGUCGAAGGCUUGUGCAUGGCGGGCGACGGGCGGUGGCGUUGGGCAGCAGGCGGGCGACUCCCGCGAGGCGGCGACACGAGACGAGACUCGCCAAUUCAGGACUCGGGUGGCGGCUAGGGUUGAGUGGGGACGCGAAUGGGACGACUGGAAGGUCAGGGGAAGGGAGUAAGGGAUGCUGGGUUGGUAUGAGAUACUCUUGUGCCUAUGGGCUUGAGAGGUGUGGGCUACUGGGCUAAGCCUGAAGUUGGAAUUGGGCUGCUGGAAUUCGGGAUAGUCGAGAUUUUCGGGUACCGGGAGUUACAACCCGAAUUACCCAAACUAAUUUCGGGUUUUCCAACUUGCUACCCGAGAUUUCCGAUCGGGUUUCGGGAUUCGGGAUUUUCGG
rnacentral:lncRNA from 1 species